rnacentral:tRNA from 1 species
ACUUAAGUAGUUUAAAGAAAAUUAUGAUUUGUGGUGUCAUUGAUGUAUAAGUUACCUUAGGUU